rnacentral:tRNA from 1 species
GCCUCCGUGGUGUAGUGGUCAGCACGCUCGACGAGUAACCCAGAGGUCCGUGGUUCGAUUCCCGGCGAAGGCG